AAAUUUUGGAAAAAACAAAAGAAAGAGGGUUAAAACUUAAAACCAAAUGUAUCUAAAAAGGAAAACGAAGAAAAGAAAAAAAAGAAAAAGUGUAAAAAAGGGUGCUUUAGCACUUCGCACAGUGAGUGUGAUGCGUGAUUGCGUGUGCUGAGACAAGACACCCAAAUGGAGAGAACUACAGAAACGACACCGUCCUACUCAAUGCAAGUUCCCCAGACAAUAGAGCGCGGCGUCGGUUGCAAGCCAAGGACACAACCGCCGCAUCGACCUCCGGCUACACCUUAUGCCCCUCAGCAGAACCAAUCCCUACGCGGCCGCUUUCUCUCCAAACUUGUCGAUCCGGCUUGCCGUCUUGUAGCCGGCGGCGCCUCUAGAAUCUUCCCCUCUCUCUUCUCUAAACACCUCACGAACGAUACCCUCCAGCCGCCAGAACCUCAAACUCAUGUGAACUUGGGUGAAGAUAUGGAGGAACAUCCUAGUGGCAAAGAUCAAAUUUCUUCUUCAACUUUUGGAGUUUCUAAAACAGCUAAUACUAGCGGAACAAGUGAUGGAUCAAAGGCUGGUUUUGGACUUUGCUGAAAAACGAAAAGGUGCUGACAGUGAGAUUAAGGAUGACAAACUUUUGGAAAUUGAGAAGCUAAUGGAGGAGAAAACAUUUUCAAGGGAUGAAAUUAAUCAUAUGAUUGAGAUUAUGAAUUCAAGGUCUGCUGAUGUUCCUAAAGUUCAUCAAGAAUGUAAGGAUAUAAUCCUGUCCGCUAGAGGUGCCAAAGAUACUAUAGGUCCUCAGAGCCUGAGGAGGCCCACGGAAGGAAAAUAGGAUGAUUCAAAUAAAGCUGUAUGGGAUGUGGCAACUCCCCUUCCUAAACCAACUCUCCCAAAUGAAACUGGAUGCUGACCUAUUGAACUUGCAAAAGCAUACAUGACAAUGAGGACACCAGAAGUAAACGUAGGUUCUAAGAGUGCUAUAUCAAAAGAUGAAAGACCAAUAGUGCUCAGUGACAAUUUUGAAUCAGAAUCAUUUGUUCCAUUGCCUUCACCCAAGUCAUCCACAUGUUGGCCGGGUUCCAUGGUACAGGAUCAGCGUGGUUAUCUAACUCCACAGUCAAAGAGGCAGAUUUGGGCUUCAUAAUAUUCCAAGAACCCCUUACUUCAGAACUAUUUAUUCAAAAUCUAAAUCAAAGUUGGAUCAUGUACAAGACAAGGGUAAUGGUUUCCUGAAUGGUUCAUUCUCUCCCUUGCAGCAAUUGCAAACUCCUAGAUAUGGACAGGUAAGUUUUCAUGAUUAGCAGCCAUAGUACUACUACUCAUUAUACUUCCAUUGUAGUGCUAUAAAUAUAGGGAAUCAGCUUCCUCUUUCUUGAAAAGGAAAAAGAAAUGGUUACAUUGGGAUUAAUGAAAAGGGAAAUUGAACCUUGACCCUCACAUAGAAUGUUAAUAACUAGGUCCUCAAUAUGGAUUCUUGGUUACUUCCAAUGCGUGGACAAGCAUGUUCUAUGUUUUCUGAUGGAGUCUGUGUUAUGUCAUUUUUGUAAUUGUUGUGCCAUAACUAUUAUCUAAAAUUGUUUUCGAAGACCAUUUAGGCAUUGCUUGGUAGGAAAUAGGAAAGAUACAAAGGGGAAGAACGAAACGUGUUUAAUCCGAUUGUUAAGCUCUAAAGUAGGAAAGCGGUUAUGGAAACUAACCAUUAGACUAAGAAAUUUUUAUUCCCACCCCUUUUUAUCCUUCCUACCAAGCAAAGCCUUGGGGAAACAAUGUGCUUCUAGGUUGAACAGAGUCUAAUUUAUGUAUUUUUGCCCCUAAAGCUGGACAUGGUCAAAAGCUGAAUAAGGGAAUAUUCAUCAUGUUGUAGGUAGCUAUUGCCUAUUUGAAACUUGCCUUUUCAUGACUUGAACUAUUAUUGUUACAUCUAUUUGAGUCCUAUACUUGUUUGAACACAUAUUUGAAGUUGAGGAGCAACCUUGCAGAUGAUGGCCAUGGAACUGUGCGAUCCAUUCGCAGGAUUUGACAUAAUGGCACUGCAGAAACCCAACCUAGAGGACCUAUUUAUUCUCAUUCGUUGUUAAACAGUCCUUUUCCAAUGGCAAAUUCCAAUGUUUCCAAGGGCGUAUUUCCUUCUAUCAAGAACAACUUGGAACAAGGAGUGAUCAGUAUCUCUUCCAAUUUUUCAGUCAUUAGAUGGUAACAGAAGCUCCGAGAUCAAUAUCCCACCCGAACAUCCACAUUCCAGUCAUAUGGAAAGGUCAAUAUUAGAGCACCUAGAGCGAAAUCUAGUCACUCGUAAGGAGAAGUCUGAGGUGUUAAAGAUAGCCACUUCAAGUAAAAUAUCUGAAUCUUUAGAUGCUAAUGCUAACUGUUUGCCAUGUUUAGGACUUGGUUCUUCUAAAAGCAAGAAUCAAAUCAACAACAGAAGUCCUGCUCAGUGGAAUGAAGAUAGAGGGAAAUCAUUUUCUGUGCCUUCCCCAUUGAAUACCAUUGAAGCUAAGAAUGUGAACAGAACUUCUGCUUCAGAGUUUGAAGCUCAUAGCACUAUUAAAAUGUUUGGCACUAAUGCCGGGUCGUCACUAGAUUUGGAAAAUUUCAAAAUUCUCAAAUCAAGACUGCACAGGAGGAUCACUCAAAGGCUGGUGCUUCAGAAAGGCCUUGUAACUCCAUUAAAAAUAAACCGGUUUUGGCUUCUAUUUCUGUCAGCAAGCCUGAGCAACGGUGGAUAUCUACUUUGGAUAAUAGCACUGGUUUCACUUUCCCUGUUUCUGCAUCUUCUGGUGUGUCUUCUGAGCCUUGAACACCUUCCAUCAUGCCAUCACUAUCAGGUAGCACUCUGCAUCGACCCAAAGAGGAACAUACAGGGCCUUCAUUUAGCUUUGGCGGCUCAAACAGAUCUUCCGCGGCCUUUUUUUUUCUUUCCCUUCGACAAGCAAUGUCCGUACCCAUGUCGAUGCUUCAGAUAAUAUUUUCAACUUUGGAUCUGAUAGGCCAUCAAGAAUAUCUUUCAGUUCAAUAAGGAAAAAAGCCAUAUGCUACUGACAGAGGAAUGAUAUAAUUCUUUUUCCCCUUAAAAGAAUUUUAGUGCGAGUUGGGAGUGCAAAUUAUCUAAAGCUGAAACCUUAAGACUUUACUUGAUUUAUAGCACUUAACCCUCCCUUGUUUCAUGGUUGAUUUCUUCGUUGAGGUUAAGGCAGUGUUCAAACUAUGAGGUGUGUGAUUCUCCAUUUGAGGGGAAUAUGAAAGAAACAGAAUCAUGUUAAAAGGCCCAGAAAUUGGUUCUUUGUGAGAAUAUAUCUUUAUAGGAUAGAUGAUGCUUUGUUCCUUUUUUUAGGGGCCUUUUUGGAUCAUCCUGGUUGAUGUUUUUAUAUGAGUAAGAAACAAAGGGAGGGGAAGAUGAGGGUGGACGCGGCUGGAUUUGUGUUCACAAAUUAUAGAAUUUAUAUACGUCGAAAAGAGUAGGGGAUGGAUGCCAUUGAACAGGAGGAAUCUCGUAUUGGUCCCAAUUCAAACAAGAAAGAAUAUGUGCCUGUUGUUGGGGGUGGGGUCUUGAAAGGAGAUGUGUAAACUGGAAGAGAGCAGCCAUCAGCUGGAUUUGAAGCACCAAAAACAAAGAGUCCAAUGGGUGCGGGGGGAAAGACAGAAGCUAGUCAGUGAAGUCAGGCUUUGAGAAAUGGGAGGUGAAAUGACAAUGAAACCAAGUCAUUGAAUUUGACAUUUCAGAUUCUUAUUAUGUCAGACCUCCUGCUACUCUUGCCCUUUUCUUCUCGUUUUUUUUCUCCCACACUUAUAUUGGAGUUGGAUAUCAAUUUAAUUAUAAAAUUAUUAAAAUAUUUUUCUUA